rnacentral:rRNA from 1 species
CCCUUAGAUGUUCUGGGCUGCACGCGCGCUACACUGAACAGUUCAACAAGUCUUAACCUUGGCCGAUAGGUCUGGGUAAUCUUUGAACGCUGUUCGUGAUGGGGAUAGACUUUUGCAAUUUUUGGUCUUCAACGAGGAAUUCCUAGUAAACGCAAGUCAUCAACUUGCAUUGAUUACGUCCCUGCCCUUUGUACACACCGCCCGUCGCACCUACCGAUUGAAUGGUCCGGUGAAGCCUCCGGAUUGGCGCGCACCUCGGUGCCGCCGAGAAGUUGGCUAAACCUUACCAUUUAGAGGAAGGUGAAGUCGUAACA